AAACCCUAAUGCUGACUAAAGGAAAAGUUCAGUUUAGGGUUUAAAACCCUAAUGCUGACUGAAUGGAAAAGAGUUCAGUUUAGGGUUUAAAACCCUAAUGCUGACUAAAGGGAAAGUUCAGUUUAGGGUUUAAAACCCUAAUGCUGACUAAAGGAAAGAGUUCAGUUCAGGGUUUAAAACCCUAAUGUUGACUGAAGGAAAAGAUCAGUUUAGGGUUUAAAACCCUAAUGCUGACUGGCUGGGGACAAAGUUCGAGGAUACUAACU
rnacentral:lncRNA from 1 species